rnacentral:lncRNA from 1 species
CCUUUUUGCUUUGCGUGCGCGAUUUUCGAUCACCGUACUCGAGUGCCGGAUAGAAACUGGAGCUGUUCCGUGGGACGGACGUCCUUCUGAGUCUUCGUUUCUUGGGUUUCCUCGUAUCCUGGUCAGGCCAGUACUUAUAAGCGACCCCUUUUUCUUCGGGGUGAUUUGUUGCGUCAUCGCAUAUAUUAUUAUGAAAUUGAGAAAUUGUCC